rnacentral:misc_RNA from 1 species
AGGAAUCUCUCCAUUCAACUUAUUUGAAAACAACAAAAGCAUCCUCAACCGCCGACAAUUUCCCAAAGUAUAAGGAAUCCCACCAAGCAGGGAAUUUCCAGACAGAUCAAGAUGCUGAAAAUACUGACAUUUACUUCCUAAAACAGCGGGAACAGUUCCAUUCAGCUUAUUAUUAGCCAAAUAAAGCCCCCUCAGCUUAAAGAAACUACCAACAAAGCUGGGGAUUGACACAUUGAACUUGUUACAGCUAAAUUCACUAGCUCUAAAGCAGCACAUUUUACAAAGAAAUGGGAAUCUCCCUAUGAAGUCUAUUAAACCCAAGAUUCAA